AUCUGGAAUACACUUUUAUGAAAGACUAGGUGGUAGCUUGUCGUAGACAUUGUCGUAGGGCGAGUCCAGAUUUCUCACUGUCAACUCUCAUCUAAUGUUGCCAGCGCUGUGAUAAAUGAGUGUCUUGACAUCAGUGUGGGCCGAAGUGUUUAUUUUUGUGCUGUACUGUCUUAUGUUGUAAGUGGUCCAGUGCAGAGCGGAGAGCUAGCAGGAUCACAUCUGCUGUUAUUCUGUUGUGGCGGUAGGUGUACGUUGUUAUUGCUUAAUGUAUCUUAAGAAGGACCUUGGAUCCCAUUGGAAAUCUGGUGGAAUUCAGGUCCGUUCUGAUUAUUUACAAUCACAACAACAGUUACAAUAACAGGUGCUGUAAGAUUGAGAGCAAAAAUUCUUGAACAUCUUUUUACAGGGUCUUUACAUCAAAAUCAAAGAACCAAUACAUUUGUAUUUCUGUACUUGUUAGUAGGCACCACUAGAGGGAAAUGUAGCAAAUAUUUAAUGUAUGAGACCAAAACGCAAAGUGUUGGAGAAACUCGGCAGUUCAGGCAGCAUUUCUGGAGAGAAUAGAUGGGAGACGUUUUGGGUCAGGACCCUUCUUCAUAAGCCAAAACGAAAUGUCCCCUAUCCAUUCUUACCAUAGACGUGCCUGAUUCGCUGAAUUACUCCAGCAUUUUGUGUUUUGUUCAAGAUUCUAGAAUCUGCAGUUCAUUGUAUCUCCUCUUUGAUAUAAGAGAUUUCAGCGCUGUUUGGAGCCUGCCAUCAUGCAUGAACAUUUCCCUGCGGUGGUAAACAAUGUACAUUUUAAUGCAGGAACUGUUCUCAUACUUGAUGGACACACAGUUCUGAUGUUAAAGCAUCUGCGGUAUCUUACUUGCCAAGUCAUGCACAGCUUGCUCUGAGACAGAAAUAUAACUGCUGCUGCCAAGAUGUCAAGCUUUGAUCCAACAAAAGGGUCAGUGGUACGAGUUUACUAAAUCAGAUAACCAAAAGUCUAAAGAAGGGUCUCGACACAAACAAUCGUUUGUCCAUUCGCUCCUCAGAUGCUGCCAGACCCGCUGAGUUCCUCCAGCACUUUGUUUUUUGCUCAAGGUCCCAGAAUCUUGUGUCUCAUGUGUAAUGAAACAUUUGAUUGAAGAGAAGUUUCAUAAAAGAGGAAACAGAAAAAGAGGUAGAGAGGUUUGGAGAGGGAUUUUCAGUGCUUGGCAGCUGAUGGGACUGUCACGAAUGUUGUAAAAAUAAAUUUGGGGGUGAAAGAGAAGGCAACUUUGGAGGGAUAUCAUCAGAUGAUGUUAUGGACAUGGAAGGAAACUGGCUUUGUGAGGGUGCACUCAUGCAGUCUAUAUUCCAUCUUUCAACAGUUUUGGGGAGAGGGAAACCUGAGAACAGAAUCUGUCUCACUAUAUAGCUAUGGGAGAUGUCCAUUGCCUUUAUAUUAGAUACAGGUACCAAGAAAGACGUUUGACAACUUAAGAUACAAGAUACAUUUAAUUGUCAUUUGGACCCCUUGAGGUUCAAACGAAAUGCCGUUUCUGCAGCCAUACAUUACAAACACAUAGACCCAAGACACAACAUAAUUUACAUAAACAUCCAUCACAUCGCUGUGAUGGAAGGCCAAAUAAA